UUAUCUGAUCUCCCCAUCUCUCCCCGACCGCACCGCCUCUCAUCUCUCUUGCGAGGAAAAGGGGCGCCCAUGACGCAGAAGCCCGGCGGUCGGGAGCAGCGGAGAGGUGGAGGAUCUCAGACUGGAGCUGGAGGGGCUGGGACGGAAGGUAGCCGAGGGGACCUGGUGCGGAUGAGCAAGGUAGAAGGCAGCCGCGUCGUUGGGAGAGGAUGCUGCCACCGAGGCUGCUGUGACGGGUGCACCGGUGGACCUGCACGGGUCUCCCUCCGGACAGGUCGUCGUUUGUGUUCCCUUCGGUGAGAUUUUGGCGGGAGGAGUGCCGCCGGUGCUGGGAUGGGGAGCGGCACUGGGAUGGAGGAGGCUCUGCGCUUCCAUCAACCCUACCUCCCAAUCCUCCAUCUGCUUCCCCGUAGCUGCCAAACAGGGCCACACGCUAGAUCUGAUCAACCAUGCCACUGGGGGAAGGAGUAAAUAUGGCUAUUUAUUAAUUGAGAAGUUGCAAGUUUGGAUAUGAAAAUCUUAAUUCUCCUCCGUGGAUCUUGCUGCCCAUAGGAAGUCCAUGCUUUCCUCUCCAAAAGUGUCAAUAUUUUUUCCUUUAAAAUGGAGCCAAUGGUGCAUAACAGGUCAGAUUUUGUUUUAUUUGAAUUUAAGUUCGCUUUGCAAUCCCGUUUUCCUUUUUAGUUGGCAUCUGAUCGUGCACCUAUGGUUUGAUUAAGUUAUAAUGUUUGCAUUUGCAAAUACACUGCAAGAAGAUGGAAAGAAGCAAGUCUCUUUGAAAUAUGCCAAAGAUAAUCUAAUACGCAGGUUAGGCACUCAUGUUGUAUACUGAUUUGAUUUUAUUAUGUUCUACAAAAAUACAUGAAACCACAUAUGUUAUAGAACAGAUUCAGUGUCAGUAUUGUUGGAACUUCAGGUACAGCAGAAAUGUACAAACGCGCACCUUCUCCUAAUUAGUGUGUUGUCUUAAUUCCUUCUCUGCAUAGAUUUUGUUGGUAUACCUUUCUAUUAAGGCCCAAACACUGAAUCUUUCUAUGAAUAUUAAAGAAGUGUAGUGAGAAUGGUUUGGUUGUGGUGCAUUCGUGUACAAGAUUACUUUUCCGAUUGUUGAACUCUCAAAAGUAUUAGCCUCCCUGGAACUUGGUAAGUUAGACAUACUUUACUGGGCACAUAUAUACUACAAAUGUUUGCAUCCAAUUUUUCUGAAAAAUACUCCGCAAUUAAAUAUAUAACCAUUUCUGUACACAUAGUGCAACUUCAUUUGGUCGUCUAAAUAUAUGUCAAUGAACUAACUAAGAUAGUACUAUGAAAUGGUAUAUGAGCUAUGGAAGAAACAAGUUUAUUAUCCGACAGAUAAUUUCUUAUAAGUACGUGCACAUGGACUUAACAAGCAUGACAUAAUUCUUCCAGUUUUCCUGAACACAAAUCCUUCUUUCAAGCCACAAGGUUAGAGAUGGCUUGGUACUCUUGACUGUCUAUUCGAUUCUAGCAGAAGCAUGUAUGCCUACUAGCAUUGCUGGGGUAUCCUAUAAUUGUUGUAUUGUUACUCCUUACACAGCUUCUCAGAGGGCUGCUGCAAAUUGUCCGUGGCGGGGCGGUGCAUGGGCAUGCUGCUUUUGUUCGAGCAGGUGUUGUGUGGAAUGUUCAACUGGCUCUGUCUGCAGCUUUUGUUAGGCUUUUAAAGUGUAAGGAACUUCUUUGUUGUUU